CAAGUAUUUCAUGUGCCUUACGUUCGUCGCUUCAUCAAUCCAUAGGUUGUUUCCCUUACAAAGCAUUAUUUGGAGUAAAUAUGAUUAAUCACGGAGAUGAUUACAAGCUCUUAAAAAAAUUGUCCUUGCUGGAGGAGUCUCCAUAUUUAGAAAGAGGUGAUCAAUUAGCUUUGUUGCGAGAAGACAUUAAGAAAUGUAGUAGAGAAGCCUACGAGCGUAACGCCAGACAAUACAAUCUUCGAUCCAAUCCUGUCAUUUAUAAAGAAGGCCAAGAAGUAUUUAAACGGAAUUUCCAUCUUAGUGAUUUCAGUCAGAAUUAUAAUAAAAAGCUAGGACAUCAGUUCUCAAAAUGUCGGAUAAAGAAGAAAAUUGGUAAUUCUUUUUAUCUACUAGAAAAUCUACAAGGUAGAGAAUUAGGAGUGUAUCAUGCGAAAGAUAUUCGAAUCUAAUUCCCAUCUAAUCUGCCUUUGUAUGACUCGUGAGAUUAUCUGGUGGGUGUAAUGGUCGCAAAUAAAAAAAUUGGGCGUAAAAUCUCUUUCUUCUUGAGAUUUUAAAUUUGCCGCGCAAAGUUAGCGAAGACACAAACCAUGGCACGAUAAAGGGACAAUACACCUCUGCAAAUUAAAUUUCCCUCCGUGGUGAAUUGUCUAGCGAAAGAUCGUAGGAGAAGGAGACGAGCUUUGUCACUUUGGCAACGACAGCUCUCAUUCUUUUCUUAUUGACUACGAUCAGAGACGGAUGCAUUCUUGGUUGAUGGUGUUUUUAAUAAAAUAAAUAUAAAACACAUGCAUCACCAGAAAAGAAGAAAUACAUAAUCUGUUAUUAUCAUCAGCAUCCAUCGAUGCUUUUUUGCCUUGAGCAAAAUAAAUACACCAGCUCGUUACGCUUGCUACGUAAAGAUUGUGAAAAUUCGUCUAAGCCGUCAUUAUUUUCUAUUAAAUAAUACGGAUAGACAAAAUUCUACACCUAUAGUGGAUUUGAAUUCCACAAUUCCGGCGCAUGUUAGUCAGCGGAGGCCGACUAUUUCGUGCCGGAAGCCUUUUUAUAUUUCUGGUCUGCCGCCUGCAGAACCAAAAAACAACAACAGUGAAGUGCAGUGCAUCUCUGGGCAGAUCACUCUUGCACCACUGUGCCGAGCCGCGCAAGGCUCUUGUACCAGAAUCGUCACUUCUCUCGUUUGCCGCUUCUAUCGUUCGCCGUCUCCACUCAGCAUCAGCAGCAUCAGCAGCAGUGCAGUGCCAGUGCCAGUGCUAGUGAAGAUGUGUAGUGCAAGUUUGUGAAUAAUAGUAUGACAAAAAUAAGUUUGUUAAAAUUAAAAGGUCAUACAAUAGUUGUACACAGAGGCAAUAGUAAAAGGGGUAAAAGCCCAAAUAAAAAGCAAAAAGAUUUGCAUUUGCCGUCAAUAUAUUAAAACAAUUUAGUUGCCAUACAUAUAAAAUAAUAAGUAACGAAAAAGAUAAAAGUAAAGAGAAAUAUCAAUUGUAAUUUGGCACUUAUUUUUUUUGCGCUAUUUUUUUUGGUUUGCUUUGCUUUGUUGGCCAUUAUUGCCCUAGGCCUUAAAGGGUAUAUCCAACGUGAAACACAAUAAUUUAAAAAAAAAUAUAUAUAAAUAAAUAAAUAAUGCAAAUAUAAUC